UAGACAUGCCCAAAGCUCUUUGAUUUACCGAACAAAAUGUGAAAUGUCACCAGAGAAUGAAACCCCCAUAGUGAAACUGUGGAGAACUAUGCACAUUGCUUUCCAUUGACGUGAUCCAAGUAGUUCGCUGAAUCCUUCACUACACAUUCACGUACCGAACAGUAGUAUCCAGCCUGAAAAGAAGUGACAGAAAUAAUUAACCAAAAUGAACAUAUAAAAAAAAUCAAUACAACAAUCAUAUCUCCCUUUUAUGCAGCGACAAAACUAGUAUAAAUACAUUACCGUGUCCAACCAAAGAGCAUCAACAUAAAAAUUGGCAUAUUGAAGGCAGGCCUGUCUUCAAGAGCACACUAUCCUCUAUACAAAAUUAGUUAAAUCCUUGAAGUUACAUACAAUUGCUAAACUAACACAGCCACUUCUCUUCUCACUUUCAAUUCUUAAGACAACAUAUAUAUUAGCUUUCCUUUCCGCUUGUGCUCAUCACCACCAACUUCUAUUUCAUUUUCCAAUAAAUAGUAAAAAAAUGCAAAUUCUACAAAAAGGAUAGCAUAACACAAUUUUUUUAUAGAUAUGGAGCACAUAAACAUAAGCCAAGAAGAAACAACAAAAGAAAGAAGGGAGGAACAUCCUUCCGGUAAUCCAGUGACUCCGAGAAAGAUAAAUCUAGCCACCUACGAUGGUUAGUUUCCAACUACAUGCUCCCAGAAAUCAUAUAAGAAUAUUAUACUGUAAGCAGAACAAUUUAUGAAGGAUCAUAUAGGAACAUGGUAAGAAGAAGACCUGCUGGCUUAGAGGACUUAGAGUUGCUAUAGGUGUGACGACCUGAGUUUUUCCCAAUCGAGAUUCAGGGUCUACUUCAUAAUCUCUAUGCUUCAAGGACUUUCUUUGCACUGGUGGAGUUUAGCUGCACAAAAAUGAUAUUGUUAGCUUCUAAGUCAUAAUUCUGCAAACCAAUCACUCUCAAAUUAAAAAGAAUUGAAUUAUUUCAUUUCAAACAUAAAAUUUAUCCAAAAAAAAAAAGAAAUUAACUGAAUUGAAUUCUUACAAAAUUUUACAUUCCAAACAAGGGGUUAGUUUCAAGAAUUAAGUUAGUAACCGGAGUGAUUUAAUUUUUGGUUGAACAGAUGGUAUAUUAAGAAAAGACUCUUUAACUACAUUAACUGCAUCCUCUUAAUCCCUUGUUCUUUUGGAAUGGAGGGAGAUAACGAUCGACUUACAUUUGGAUUUGACCCGCUACUCAGCCUCCUAAAUAGAGAGAGCAAAUGAACACUAGCAACUAUAGAAGUCACUAAACCAAAAAUACAAAAGAAAAAAAAAAUAAAACAAAGUGAGAAUUGAAAAUUCUGAUACGAUCAAACCUGCUUUUCACGCUCACGAGCGUGUUCUAAAUACUUCUCUAUUGAAUUUUCUUCUAAAUUUGUUAUCAACACCAACAGUCUGCCCAAAACAGACAAUCACAUGAGCAAAGCUGCAAUCAAGAAGAAAAAUCAGGGGAAAAGACUGCCCGCAAUAUAUAUAUAUACAUAUAUUAAUGAAACAUUAGCGUUAAUAAAUUUGCAUUUACAUUGUUAUGAGCCAUCUAUCUGAAAUUUUUGACCAGAAAACGAAAACAGAGAACACGGAGAUAUAUUAAUAUGUGAAUGUAUCAAAGUAAAUUAUGAGUUCGGAGAGGGGAAUCUGUAAACCCUAACAUCUGAUUUGAGUCCAAUUUCAAAGAAGCUAAAACCUGUAAGACGAAAGGAAAAGAAUAACGCCCUGAAUAUAUUAGCUACGGUAUAUAAAAAAAUUAAGAGUGCAAUGGGCGUUUGGUCUAGUGGUAUGAUUCUCG
rnacentral:misc_RNA from 1 species